CCCAUUAUUUGCUUUUUUUUUUUGAACAGCCAGACACUCACCAUUCAAGUUCUUCCCUUUUCACCUCAUCCCCAGCUUGUUGCCGUCGAAUCUCAUCCACGGCAGAGUCGGCGCAGCUAGUCCCCGCCGCCCGCCGGGAUCUGAGCCACCCUCAACCGAAGGCCAAUAUAAAGGUGUACAAAGACUAUUUCGGCGUGCAUUUAGAAUAUCCCGAACUUGUUUUGAGCGGGUUAUUUUCACAUGUAACCCGCAUCGGGAAUCAGGUAGGGAAGAAAGAGAAAAAAAAGAAGAGACGCUUGAUUUAUCUGCUGCGUCUCUUCUGCUGUCGUGACGUGGAUCGCGAUCAAGAAACGUUACCGGGUAUUGGGUUUCUCCAAUUUUCUCUCUUUUGGGCUGGCAAACCAUUUGUGAAGUUUCCAAGGGCGUUAUUAUUAUUUAGUUAUGGAGGAACAACAGCAGUAGAAGAAGAAUAAGUACAGCAUCAUCGUCCCCACUGAGGUGGAGUCCGUGUUGUUUAGCCAUCAAAGGUGGGUGGUUUCGAAGUGGGGACUUGGGGCGUGAAACACCCUGAUGGGUAUAUAGAACUAAAGGAUCGGUCAAAGGACAUUAUCAUAUUGGGAGGAGAGAAUAUAAGCACGAUUGAGGUGGAGUCCGUGUUGUUUAGCCAUCCAGCGGUUCUUGAGGUUGCAGUUGGUUCUUGAGGUUGCAGUUGUUGGUAGGCCCGACGAUCACUGGGGUGAAACGCCUUGUGCAUUUGUGAAGUUGAAGGAUGGAUGUAACAUGAGCAGCGCUGAGAUUAUUAAGUACUAUCGCGAUCUUUUGCCUCAUUACAUGGCUCCGAGGACUGUUGUUUUCGAGGAUUUGCCAAAAACAUCAACUGGAAAGACACAGAAGUUUGUUCUCAGGGGGAAAGCUAAAGCUAUGGGGAGCCUCACAAGGAGGAGCACCAGCAAUUGUAAAGCUACUUCUUUGGGUUGCUAAAUAUUGAAGUACAUGGCUGUUCAAAGCUCUUGCAUGUUGUAUUGUUUGUCCAGACCUUCUGCUGCCUUUGUCCAUUACCAUAAAAGCAAGAAGUAAAUAAAUUGUUGAUUCGACUGCA